rnacentral:lncRNA from 1 species
AGCAUUCUAUUGAGGCUUCCCCAAAGGUGGAUGUCCUGGAUAGUGACCGUAUGGUGGCUCAUGUGCUGGAGGCUCAUAAACUGGUGGUUUAGGUUUUGGCUUUUCUUCCUUUGGUGGUGCAUAAACUGGUGGCUUAGGUGGUUUUGGCUCAUAUAUUGGUGGGUUGUUGGGAGGUUGAUACAUUGGUGGCUUGGGUUCUGGUUUUUCUUUCUUUGGAGGUGUAUAAACCGGUGGCUUUGGUGGCUUAGGUUCGUACAUUGGAGGUUUUUUUGGAGGUUCAUACAUUGGUGGUUUGGGUUCAGGUUUCUCUUUCUUUGGAGGUGUAUAAACCGGUGGUUUUGGUGGCUUAGGUUCGUACAUUGGAGGUUUUUUUGGAGGUUCAUACACUGGUGGUUUGGGUUCAGGUUUCUCUUUCUUUGGAGGUGUAUAAACCGGUGGCUUUGGCUCGGGCUUCUCCUUCUUUGGAGGUUCAUAUACGGGUGGUUUGGGUUCAGGUUUCUCUUUCUUUGGAGGUGUAUAAAUCGGUGGUUUUGGCUCAGGUUUCUCCUUCUUUGGAGGUUCAUAUACUGGUGGUUUAGGUUUAGGCUCCUCUUUCUUUGGAGGUGUAUAAACUGGUGGCUUUGGCUCAGGCUUCUCCUUCUUUGGAGGUUCAUACAUUGGUGGUUUGGGUCCAUGCUUCUCUUUCUUUGGAGGUGCAUAAACCGGUGGCUUAGGUUCAGGCUUCUCCUUUUUUGGUGGUUCAUACACUGGUGGCUUAGGUUCAUAUGGUGGUGGUUUCACCUUGGGAGGCUUGAAUACAGGAGUAGGGGGUUUCCCAUAAUUUGGUGACUCAUAGGUACCAAAUGUGGGAGUGGUGAGAGUCACCACUCCAAGUAGGAAUACUAGCAAGUGUGUUGUAGACAUCAUUGAGUCUUGGCUUUCCAUGGUGCCAUGAGAAGGGUUCUUUUUAUAGUAGUUUUGGAGCGCUGUUGUUAGCGCAUAUGUCAAAAAAUUUAUUUGUUUACGUACCUUUGUAAAUAGUCUGCUAGAUGUUAUUAAAUCUUUUAAAUUAUUCAUGAAUGUAAUAGGGUCCAUUUAGGUACAAGUUAGUUGAAAUUUUGGACUAUGGAUACGCAAGACUGAGUCAUGAUUGAAGAAAAUUAUAAAAUAUAUCAUAGGUUCUUAUACUUUUCAAAAAUUUAGAAUUUAAUUCUUAUAAUUUUAUUUUUAAAUUUUAGGUCUUACUUUUAAUCAUUUUUUUAUUAAAUUUGUUGAUGUGAUUUAAAAAAAAAAACAUUUGGUCGUAAUGUAACUAAAUUUGAUCAAGAGUUGGGUAGCCCAAUAGGCUUAGUCCGACUUGAGUCAGGCUUGGACAAAUAUUUUUACACCUCAAGCUGGCUCAGCCUAGUCAUAAUUCAAUUUAAAUAAGAAAAAAAUAUUUUUAUUAUUUAAAUUUAAUUAUAAAACUAUAUAAAUAUCAAUUAAAAAUAUUUUUAAAUAUUUUAUUAAUUUUUAAAUAGUGAAACGAGCUUUUUGGAUGGGCCAGCCCAAAAAAGGGUUUGGGCUUUAAUUUUUUUGGAAUCCGGCAUUGGCUUGGCCCAUGGGCGGCUCAAAAUGUUACUGAAAAAUGAUAUUGUAAUGAAUCCGAAUUUAACAUUAAUUUUAAUAGUUGAACCUGGAUUUUGAAAUUUAAAAAGUAGAGAGACUAAAUUUCUAAAAGUAAAAAUACAAAAAUUAAAUCUUAAAUUUAUAAAUAGUACAAAAACUUAUGACAUAUUUUAACUUUGAAGAAAAACUUAGGAUCACAUAUGUGUUCUUUUUUAUACAAUGCUUAGAACUAUUCAUAGUUCCUCCCUAACCCAUAAAUAGAAGGAUAAUGAGUUCUAACACAUUCAAACCCAUGUUCUCUUGUAUUGAUAACAAUAUCCAUACUAAUUGGAUAAAGACUCAAUCAGUAAAAUUAAAUCAUUACUUAUAUCUUUAAAUUAUGUAUACAUAUUUAUAUUUACUUCUCUUUCCAUGAGGUAUUUAUAUUUACUUUCUUUAUAAGGCCAAGAAGAUCGAGACAAGAACAACAGAUAAAUUGACGCAUAAAAUCUAAAAUGUCGCUAAAUUGACUGUAGGAAACAUUGUCGGUAAAUUUAGUGUUUCAUCCGGGAUUUUAUUUAAUCUCAAUUGGUAAGCUUUAACUACUCAUAAAUUUUUUUGGGACAAGAAAUUAAAUUUAUUUAAAAGAAAGUAAAGAGAGUUUAAUGCUCUUAAUUUUUCUUUAAAUUACUUAGUUUUUAUUUAUUGCAAUUUAAGAAAAAAUUAGGAAAAAGAUGUAAUAUUUUUUAAGAUGCGAAAUAUCAUUUCUAUCUUUCCAUAAAUUGUUUUAGAAAAUGGGAUAUGAUUUGAAAUAAAUCAAAAUAAUCAUUUGUUUUAUUAUUUUCCAUAGUUUAACCACACAAAACUUGGGAUAUGAUCUAUUUUUAAAGGAUUGGAAGGAUAAAAGGUAUUGUAUAGAAAAAAAUUGGUAAAUAAUUAUUUGUCUCUUUUAAUUUUGAAAUUGAGUAAAUUAAUUAUUUAAAAAAAUUGAAGCAAUUUAAUUCUUGUUAAUUUUGAAAGCGAGUAAUUAAAGAUAAUUAAUUACUGCAUUAAAUAUUUUGUCAAUUGUAAAUAAUAUUGGUUGGUAUAAUAACAAAUUUAAUAUUCAAAGUUUGCACAUUUUGUCAAUUUGAUAACAAUUUAACAAAUUUAGCUACUAACAUUUACAUAAAUAUUGAGACUAAAUUUAUUGAAACUUUUAAAAUCUAGAUCAAAUUUGUUGUAGGCCAAUUUUAGGCCUGUUUACAUUACAUAAGCCCAUUUACAUUAAACCCCAAGACCCAAAUAUCUAACCCAAACCCGAAUGGCCCACUACAACCCAUUCCAACCUAAUACCCAUCUAAAUUAACCCACAUAAAACCCAAAUACCCACAACCCAUUACAAACCAAACCCAAUACAGCAAGCCCAAUAUCAUUAACCCCAACUACCCGAAACCCUAGCCCCAUUUUCGGCUCUCACUUGCCUCUGCCACCACCUGCCCACUGCAACCCCUUCUCCUGGCGCCACCUGCCCCGUAGUCACCUCCACCGUUCACCCACCACCUGCAAAGCAAACAGAGCACGUAAUAGCAACCAAAAAGAGAAACAGACAGUAACAAAUCAGAUAUAAAAACCGAAUGGAAACCAUAGCAAAGGGGUUCCUUCUUUUUUAGUGUUUUUAUUUUUUUUCGAAUAUUCAAGAAGAAAUCAAUACAUAAGUUAGAUUUCAAUACAUACAAAAGCGGUGAUUCGAACACCCGAAAUUAGAGAAUCGAACAAACGAAAAUAUCAGACAUUAGAAACCAAGGUGAUUGUUUAUUUUUCGAAUCGAUUUUUUCUUCAUCAUACUCUUAAACAUAUAUAAUAUAUAUACAUACAUAUAUUCGAAAAUAAAAAAAAAAACAAAACAAAAAAAAUAAUUUUACCUUUUCCGGCCACCGCGCACGGUGGCCAACACCGACGCCGACGACAGUCCGAUGACCGGACGGUGAUCGGCCCAUGGCCGGAUUCCCUCCCCCUCUCCCUCUUCUCUCCCUUUUUUUUCUUUUUUCCCCGUUUAAAUGAUUUUUUUUAAAAAAAAUUGUCUUUUAUAGGGACCAAAACGGUGCGUUUUGGUCCCCCUCCGUUUUAACGAAAAACGACGUCGUUUUGGCCCUGGGUCUGGUCGACUCGACCCGCUCCAGCUAGGAUCCGCGUGUUUUUGCUCUUAGGGGCUAUUUGCAUAAUCGGUCCUUCCGCAUUUUUAGUGUUUUAAAUCAGGUUUAUAUUUAUUUACAAAUUGGCUCUGAAGUUUGUUAUGAUUCUCAAAUUGAUCCUCAGUGAUGGCAUCGUUUUAAAGGUUUUUGAAAAUUACUCUUUUGGCCCCUCCAGGUUAGCGCAUGUUGUAAUUUCAUCCUUUUCUUUUAUUUUUAUUUCAAAUCAACCCUAAAACUUUGGUUUUUAUUCAAUUUUAGUCCUUUUAGUUUAUUUUCAUUCCUUUAUUAUUAAAUUAAUUAAUUUUGAUAAUUUUUUUAUUAUUAUAUUUACUAUUAUUUAUUGUUAUUGGUAUUAUUAUAUGUUUUAUUAUAUACGUAUGAAUAUACUUUUUUUACCAUUUUACAUUAUUAUAUUUAUUAUUUAUUUCUAACAUAUUAUUAUUUUAUUUUUUUAUAUCAUCAUUAUAUUUAAUUUGUGCUUAUAUGUUAUAUUUUCUCUUUUUACUUUUAUAUUUACUAUUUGCAUUAUAUUUACUUAUUAUUAUUAUUAAUUAUGUAUAUAUAUUUUUAAAUCCCAUGUUAUGUAUAGACAUUUCUAAUAUGUAUUUCUUUAAAUGAUAUUAUUACAUAUAUAUUUUAGUACAUAUAUAUGUGUACUUGUGUGAAUAUUCUUUUAGCAUGUGCUACAUAUAUAUUUUUUUUAUUCUAUAUUAUGUAUGUAUAUUUCUAAUAUUAUAUUAUGUUUUCAUAUAUAUAUAUUAUGUAUAUACUUUGGUAUCAUAAUUAUAUAUUUUUAUACGAUCUUAUGUACAUAUAUUUACACGCAUAUAUUUUCUUUUAUAUAUUAUGUAUAUGCAUUUUUUAUAUAUGUAUAUGUUUAUACUAUAUUAGUUAGUUUUAUACUAUCUUAUAUGUACAUUUUGAAUACUAUGCUAUGUAUGUAUUCUAAAUACUACAUUUUAUAUAUAUUAUGCGUACUUCAAUACUAUUAUUAUGUAAUAUAUAUAUACACAUAUAUACGCCUAUGUAGGUGUAGUAUUAUUAGUAUUUUUAAUAUUACAUUUUCCGUCACCUUACAUAUUAUUAUAUAACAUAUGUAUAUAUAUAAUCCAUUGUUUUCUUUCGUGUUUAAUGUUAUUAUUAUCGUGCAUAAUAUCAAACACAUCGUGAAUACUUUAUAGUUAUUAUUUUAUCAUCCGCUUCAUAUAUUCGUAAGUCGCCUUUUAUUACAGCAUUGUUAUAAGUUUCUAUUGUUUUUGAUAAAAAAAUAUUCUUAUUCAUGAUUUAAAUCAAUUUCAAUAAGCAAGGCAAUGUACUGAUUUAACAUUAAGUCAUCAAUUUCAUCGCUAUGUUGGGUGAACAUCAAUCGACUCGUGUUAAAGACGGAACACUCUUCUAAAAAAUCCAAAAAACUAAAAAAUUCUCGUCUUUUCAAUCAGAUCACGAUUAAAUGUUACAUUGAACUCGUAUUUUUGAAAAUCAAGACAACAUGUGUUUAACAAGAUACCAAUUUUGGGCGUCGCGAGGGUGCUAACACCUUCCUCGCGCGUAACCGACUCCCGAACCCUACUUUUCCUCUGGCUUUUAAUGUAGACCUAAACUCGGCUUUCUUUUCAUUUAAAAAAUGAAUUUUCUCUCAAAAGAAGAAUGAUUUAUUAGGUGUCCAAUCACACCUAGAAAAAAGAUCGGUGGCGACUCCCUUUUUAUUUUAAAAUCAAACUUCAGUUUUCAAGUUUUCACUAAAUCGCCACAAUUAGCGACCAAGCUAAAAUUUUUACGUCGCUACAGCUGGCAACUCCAAUGGAAAAAUAUUUUUGAGAGUCGAGUCAAAUUAAAUGUGUAUUGUCAAAAUUUUCAAAAUUCCUUGUUCAAAUUAGUAUUUAGUCGUGAUCCCAAAAUUGUGUUUUUGAAAAGUCAUGCAUAUGCAUCAUGUUGUAAAUAUUCUUCUAACUUGUUUUAGCUUGUUGAUUUUCAGCUCUCAGUUUUUUAGUUUUUGUAGUUUAGUUUUUAAAUAAAACAUAAAAGAUUAUGAGUUUUUCCCCACACACCGUGCACUUGCAUUUUGCAUAACAAGAGCUCUCUACCCAGGCUCUGUCCGUUUAAGUGAAAGUAAACGCUACGCUUUCGUGAGUUAACUUGUCCCUCUACACAGGCUAGUGAAUACUUUCGGAUUACAUAUGACUUAUGCUUUCAUGAGUUAACUUGUCCCUCCGCAUAGGCAUAAGUAAAUGUAAUCCCUCGAAUUGAACUCGUGAGCCUGUGAUGGGCUACGAUCGAUGCUUCAUACUAGUCUUAGUAGACGAUAGUGCGAACAAUUCGAGUACCUGUCUAGAACCGAAAUCGCAUAUGGUGAACUGUAUGAGCCACCUAAUUAGAGCCAUGCCGAACCUCUGUCCGUUAAUAGUCACCAAAAUAAGUACAUGGGAGAAAUGUCUCUUACCUUUUAUUUCUUUGGCAUUUAUACUUUUUAUUUGAAUUUUCUGUAAUUUAUAUUUGUUGUGAUUACUAACCAAGGUUGUUUAUCUUUAUUAUUAUUUUUCAUCAUGCAUUAUAGGCAUCAUAUUAGGAAGGUGUUGACUAGAGAUCGGUUGCCAAAAAAUGGGUUUCUAAUGGAAGAGUCAAUUAUACAAACAACUGAGAAGAAUGCCGUGGUUCGGGACUGGUCUCUAAAAACUCAGAAAGAAAAAGGGGAUAGUCUAGCGGAGGGAUGUAUUGCCAAUCUGCCCGAGCACGUAACUGUGAAUGUUUGCCAGAAUAACCUUGAAGAUUUGGUUCGGGUUUGGAAUUAGUGGGACUCGGACACUAGGGGUAUCUUCACUGAGAGGUACGGGGAUAUAGCCAGCCUAAUCGCCAUCAACAUAGAUGAAAGAUUGAUUCAGGCCAUGAUCAGAUUUUGGGAUCUGGCUUACCAGUGUUUCAUUUUCAAUCAAGAAGAUAUAACCCCAACCGUGGAAGAGUACGCUGCUUUACUUCGUAUUGAUAAUGUGCAAUUCUACAAGAUUUAUGUGAAGGAGCCCAAGCCGAUGAUUUUCAAGAAAAAGCUGGUAAAGUUGACUGGCUUGACCGACACGUGGGCCGAGAAACAAAUAAAGAAAAAGAAUGAAAUCAGCUGCAUUCCGUGGUUUUCUCUACGGGAUUUAGUCUUAAAUCAUCCCGAUAUUUUGAAAAAAGUGAAUCUAUUCGCUUUGGCCAUUUACGGAUUGGUCGUCUUUCCAAAAGUUCUGGGACAUAUAGAGGUUGCAGUAGUGGACUUCUUUGAAAAGUUAAAGCAAGGAAUCAACCCUAUCCCAACUAUUUUGGCCAAGACCUUCAGAUCCCUAAGCAGUUGUAGGAGAAAAAGGGAAGGAUGCUUUAUCGGAUGCGCGCAGUUACACAAUGUCUGGAUUUUGAGCCAUUUCUGGAAAGUAGAGCACACACCGUACCACAUGUUUUCAAAAACUUUCGCUCCGUUAGAAGCCUAUCUUGAGAAAGAAUGGCCAAGGGAUGUCACCGAAGAGUAUUGUGUUUUAGUUUUUUAGAACCUUCGAGCUGAAGAUGUAACCUGGAGAGCACCGUGGAUCCGCCCUUCGGUUCUGUUAUACAAGGUUGAAAAUCAAGAUUGUGUGCCACUACUCGGGUUAUGGGGAGGAAUUGGAUACGCUCCGUUAAUGGUUCAAAGGUAAUUUUUUUCACAACAAUUCAUACCCGCCACCGGAGGAUUAGCACAGUCUGAGUUUGCUUUUGCAGGUGAGGGAUAUAUGAAGAGGGUCUGAGAUACCGCAAAGUCUUGGAAGAGAAUUCAUCUCAUGGAGUUAGCUCUAUACGCUGACACCCUCACCCAAGAUUACGUCAUAUGGAGAAAGCAACGAAUGAAUAGUCAACACAUCUCGUCGACAAAUUACACUGUCCAGAAUCCUUUAUCGGAAGAAGUGCCAUCUAAGCUAGAAAUGGCAAGACAAGAAUUUGAACGGAGAAGGCCAAGAUACCUCAGGACCUUAGUGCUCUUUAGGAGGAAACUACCAACUGAAGAUCAACGUUCAGAUUGAAAGAUCCAGAACUGAGAAAGCGCAAAAAGAAGCUGAAGUUGUAAAAAAUGACUUAAGGGACCUUCAUUUGGAAAAUAAAAAGUUAAGAGGCACAAUAAAAAACAGUAGGUUGGGCAAAUCGUCAACAGCAUGGAAGGAGGAAAUUAGCAACAUCAAGGGAGGGAUGGAAUUCUGAAAAUGGAAAGCGAAGAAAGAAGAAGAAAAGGCUGCGCGGGCUAUGAUGGAGCUAAGGAAGAAGAACGCUGAAUAUAAAGCUGUGUCUGCCGAGGUAAUGACUAGUCGAUCUAAAUGUCAAGAACUAAAAGAGAGGAUACGAGAUUUAGAAGACAUGCUACAAGAUCGUUAACAACAGCUAGAUACUCUCUUGGAGGCUUUGGAAGAAAAGAAUAGUCAGUAUGAUAGAGACAUUUGUGCUUAUGAAGAGGGCCUUCAAGAAAAAGGAAUGCAACUUAGCUAUUUGAUCAAUGAAAUUCGUAGGGUAGCCAUGCACGUGGUACAACUAUCGGAAGA